UCCGAUUUGUCACCGGCAGUCUCCUAUGAGUCCCCGGCAUAACCCGCUGGCAACAUGGGGCGGGGGUUGCGCUCGUUGCGGGACUUAACCCAACACCUCACGGCACGAGCUGACGACAGCCAUGCACCACCUGUGAAGGUGCCCCGAAGGGAGACCGUGUUUCCACGGCUGUCACCUACAUGUCAAGCCCAGGUAAGGUUCUUCGCGUUGCCUCGAAUUAAACCACAUGCUCCACCGCUUGUGCGGGCCCCCGUCAAUUCCUUUGAGUUUCAAUCUUGCGAUCGUACUUCCCAGGUGGAUCACUUAAUGCUUUAGCUCAGACACCAACAGUAUAUCGCUGAUGUCGAGUGAUCAUCGUUUAGGGCGUGGACUAC
rnacentral:misc_RNA from 1 species